rnacentral:rRNA from 1 species
AGCUCCAAUAGCGUAUAUUUAAGUUGUUGCGGUUAAAAAGCUCGUAGUUGGAUUUCGGGAGGGUAACGCCGGUCCGGCAUUGCUGAGUACUGGCGCGGCCUCUUUUCUGUUGGUGACGGCGUUCUGGGGUUUGUUCCUCGGGAGUCGGAGUCAACGAGGUUACUUUGAGUAAAUUAGAGUGUUCAAAGCAGGCGAUCGCUGUGAAUACGAUAGCAUGGGAUAACACGAUAGGACUCUGGCCUAUCUUGUUGGUCUGUGGGACCGGAGUAAUGAUUAAGAGGGACAGUCGGGGGCAUUCGUAUUUCAUGGUCAGAGGUGAAAUUCUUGAAUUCAUGAAAGACGAACAUCUGCGAAAGCAUUUGCCAAGGAUGUUUUCAUUGAUCAAGAACGAAAGUACGCA